rnacentral:rRNA from 1 species
AUGGACGGGCAAGAACACAAUAAUCGCCUCCACCUAGCUCCUUGCUCAACCAUGAACAUCCAGAGAACAUGGCAGCAGCUCCUGAUGCUCCAUCUCCUCACUCAUAUCCUCUUCCUUUUCCUCACAUCCAGCUCUCAACCUACCAACAAUGAAACUGUCAGCAGCGGCGAUCUUUUCGUCCUCCUGUCAUUCAAAUCCUUCAUCACCAGUGACCCUACACGGGCACUGUCCUCGUGGUCACGGGGCCAUGCCAGUGCUGGUGCUGGCGCUGGCAACGGUACCAGCAGCACGAAGACGAAGGUGCCCGGUUUCUGCAAAUGGACGGGUGUGUCCUGUGGCAACCACCGGUACCCUGGCCGUGUCACCGCCAUACGCCUGCAUGGCUUUGGCCUGGUCGGUACCAUCAGCCCGCAGCUCGGUAACCUGACACGCCUCCGCGUCCUCAACCUCUCAGCCAAUAGCCUGGGAGGUGAGAUCCCAGGCAGCAUCAGCCACUGUGCAGCACUUGGCACUGUGGACCUGGGGGAGAACUCCCUCUCUGGUUCCAUGCCUGCUUCUCUGGGUCUCCUAUCAAAGCUCACAUUUCUCAGCGUUACCCAUAACAACCUGACUGGUGAUAUUCCCAUGUCGUUCUCCAACCUCACAGCUCUCACGAACCUUAGCAUGUCGAACAACCAAUUCCUUGGCGGAAUCCCAAGCUGGCUGGGCAACCUGACAUCGUUGACACACUUGGAAUUAGUCGGGAACAGGUUCAAUGGCCAUAUCCCUCCAGAUCUUGGUAAGAUGUCUAAUCUUGUUACAUUUGACAUCAAUGACAACAAACUGGAAGGCCCUUUUCCUCCAUCCAUGUUCAAUAUUUCUUCAAUCAAAAACUUCAACAUUGGCUUCAACCAGUUGACAGGAUCUCUGCCGCUGGAUAUUGGCUUUAAGCUUCCCAAGCUAAAUGUUUUGGGCACACAUGCGAACCGAUUCGUAGGAAAAAUACCAGCCUCCUUGUCAAAUGCAUCCGCACUUAAAUAUUUGAUUCUUCACGGAAAUCAGUAUCAUGGUCCGAUUCCACGGGACAUUGGCAUCCAUGGUCGUUUGAUAUUAUUUUCGUUAGGAAACAAUUUGCUUCAAACCACAGAGCCUAGGGAUUGGGAUUUUCUCACAUCCUUAACCAACUGUAGCAACCUGGGAAUACUAGACCUUGACCAAAACAACCUUGAAGGUGCUAUGCCAGUUACAAUUGCUAACCUAUCUACAGAGCUCUACAUGAUUACACUAGGUAGAAACAAAAUAGCUGGGACCAUACCUGCAGGUUUAAGCAAGUUUCAAAAACUUGCAACGCUCUCCCUGAAGCAAAGCCUCUUCACAGGCACCUUGCCUCUGGAUAUUGGCCUGAUUCCUAGCCUCCAGGAACUUGACCUAUCCCAUAGUAGAUUUCAUGGGCAGAUUCCACAAUCAUUAGGCAAUAUCACAAAGUUGAGCAACCUCUUCCUAUCUAAUAACUUUCUAGAUGGCAGCAUGCCAUCAAGCCUUGGUAACCUAACAAAACUUACAUCUCUGGAUCUUUCUGGUAACUCCUUGAGGGGGGAAAUCCCACCGGAGGUACUUAGCAUCCCCUCCCUGACCAAACUUCUCAACCUCUCCCACAAUUCUCUGAGUGGCUCCAUUCCAACACGGAUAGGGCAACUGAACAGCCUAGGCACAAUUGACCUUUCCAUGAACGAGCUAUCUGGUGAAAUUCCAGAAGCUCUCAGCAGUUGCGUCCUACUGAACUCCCUAUACUUGCAAGGAAAUCUUCUGCAAGGGCAAAUUUCAAAAGUUUUGUCUUCUUUAAGAGGCCUUGAAAAGUUGGAUCUUUCUAGCAACAACUUAGGAGGGCCCAUACCUGAGUUCCUCGAGGGCUUCGAGCUUCUAAUGUAUCUAAACCUCUCUUUCAACAACCUAUCUGGCCCAGUGCCAAAUGCAGGGAUUUUCCGCAACGCCACUAAGCAUCAUCAUCGGGUCAUACUCUUUUGCAUGGUUGGAACUUUGAUGUUGAUGUGCUCCCUAACUGCAUGCUACUUGAUGAAGACAAGAAUCAAACCAAAUAGUGUUGGUCAAGAAACCGGAUUUCACAAUGAGAAGCAUGAGAGGAUAUCCUAUGCCGAUAUAGAUGAAGCAACACAGUCCUUCUCACCGGCAAAUUUGAUUGGUUCCGGCAGCUUUGGCGAUGUGUACAUUGGAACUCUGAAUCUUGAUGAGAGUUUAUACACCGUAGCAAUCAAAGUUCUCAAUCUUGGCAAACGAGGAGCUAACAGAAGCUUUUUGAGGGAGUGUGAAGCCCUGAGGAAGAUCCGACACCGGAAACUUGUCAAGGUGAUCACUGUGUGUAGCAGUUUGGACCGUAAUGGUGAUGAGUUCAAGGCACUUGUCCUAGAAUUUAUCUGCAAUGGGAACUUAGAUGAGUGGCUGCAUCCAAACACAGAGAACAGCAGGACCUUCAGAAGGCUAAGUCUGAUGGAAAGGUUGUGCAUCGCUCUUGAUGUUGCAGAGGCAUUGGAAUAUCUUCACCACCAAAUUGAGCCCCCCAUAGUUCACUGUGAUAUCAAACCAUGCAACAUCCUUCUAGAUGAUGACAUUGUUGCGCAUGUUGCUGACUUUGGUCUAGCAAAGAUAAUGCAUACUGAAGCAUGCAAGCAAAGUGGCGGUGGGACUGAAAGCAGCUCACUUGUGAUUAAAGGCACAAUUGGAUACGUCGCACCUGAGUAUGGCUCGGGAUCUGAAGCCUCCACAGCGGGUGACGUAUACAGCUUCGGGGUGUUGCUAUUGGAAAUGCUUACUGGAAGACGGCCAACUGACAGUUUCAGAGAUGGCGCGACAAGUCUUGUCAACUAUGUCAAGAUGGCAUAUCCUGAUACUCUGCUGGAAGUGUUAGAUGCUAGUGCAACAUACAGCGGAAACCCGCAACGUAUCAUAGACAUAUUCUUACAUCCUAUGCUUAAGAUUGGUCUAGCUUGCUGUGAGGAUUCCCCAAGGCACCGAAUGAAGAUGAACAAUGUAGUCAAGGAGCUGAAUGCCAUAAAGAAGGCGUGCGCCCCUCAUAUGCAUGUUCAUGGAUUUCGAGCAAGCGCUUGA